rnacentral:rRNA from 1 species
AAAAUUUAAAGGACGCGGUAACCUUGACCGUGAUAAUGUAGCAUAAUCAUUCGCCAUUUAAUUGAUGGAUAGUAUGAAUGGUUGAACGAAUAUUUCACUGUCUUAAAAAGAAAUAACAAAAAACUAGGAUAAUAGUAAAGACACUAUUUUAGAUUGUAAGACGAAAAGACCCUAUAGAGCUUAACUAUAAUCUCGUUACAUAAAAAGAAUAUAAUUCCUAAAUAAAGAGACCGGUAGUUUAGUUGGGGCGACUAUCUUUUAAAAAAAACAAAGAUAAGCAAAGUAAAUAAAGAAACUUAUUGUAUAAAAUAUAAAUUUAACAGUUAUAAAAAUAGGCUAUAAUGACCCGUUGUUUUUAAAUAAAAAAACACAACGAUCAAUAAAUAAAAGCUACCUUAGGGAUAACAGGAUAAUUUUAUUCUAGAGAUCUAAUCGAAAAUAAAGUUUGUCACCUCUAUGUUGAAUUAAGA